GACGUAGGGUGCAAGCGUUGUCCGGAUUUAUUGGGCGUAAAGAGCUCGUAGGCGGCUUGUUGCGUCGACUGUGAAAACCCGCGGCUUAACCGCGGGCUUGCAGUUGAUACGGGCAGGCUAGAGUUCGGUAGGGGGAGACUGGAAUUCCUGGUGUAGCGGUGAAAUGCGCAGAUAUCAGGAGGAACACCGGUGGCGAAGGCGGGUCUCUGGGCCGAUACUGACGCUGAGGAGCGAAAGCGUGGGUAGCAAACAGG
rnacentral:rRNA from 1 species